GCUUUAAUACAGCUGAGUUGGUAGAACAUGAGAUUCUCACUCUCAGGGUAAUGGGUUUGAGCCCCGUGUUGGGCA